rnacentral:lncRNA from 1 species
GGGUGCCUGGUCCAGCUAGGAUUAACCCUUUUUUUUUUAUAAACAUAGCAGUUUCAGAGAAACUGCUAUGUUUACACUGAGGGUUAAUCCAGCCUCUAGAGCUCUAGUGGCUGUCUCAUUGACAGCCGCUAGAGGCGCUUGCGUGCUUCUCACUGUGAAAAUCACAGUGAGAAGAAGCCAGCGUCCAUAGGAAAGCAUUGUAAAUGCUUUCCUAUGAACUGGGUGAAUGCGCGCGCGGCUCC